UAUAAUUUCUUAGUCACCGGAUCGUCUUAAGGUUCGUUCAACACUAUUUAUAAUGUAUUUCAAUAACAAAAAAUUUACCAGUUCUGUACGAAUUUUGAUACGAUUCGACAGCUAAAAACUUAUAAGCACGUUGAUAUCCUGUGCUUUUAAAAGCAUAAGAGCUCAACUAAACACUAUUUAUAUAUAUAUUAUUAAAAGUAUAGCAGCCUCACUAACAAUAACACAUAUAAGGCUAAAUUAUAGAAAAUUUCUUUAUAAAUAUCUGUUUUUUACCCCCUCAAAAAUCUAUAUUUUCUCCCUCAAUAUUUUAAGUUAUUUAAUUUAGCCCUCCUUUAUCAGAGUUUCAUCACCAUUCCAUCUAUUUCUUAUAAUUUAUACCAAAAAUAUCCUGCAAAAUGAUAGAAAUAUACUAAAAAAUUAUUUUUUCUUAUAAAAAAUGGCAAUUUGGUUAUUUUGCCAUCUCCAUUAAUGUGUAUCCUCCUAAAAAUAUUUCUGAAAUUUUAAGGAAGCAAUAUGUAGGUUUUUUAAAGUUAUAAAGAAAAAGUGAAAAAGGGGUAUUUAUAAAGAAGUUAAUUUUCUAUAUUUUAG
rnacentral:lncRNA from 1 species